UAUGUACACUGAUAUUUUUUAAAAUUAGUAAACUAUAUUUUUAGAGCAUUUUUAGGCUCACAGCAAAAUGGAGCAGGAAGUACAGAGAGUUUCCAUGUGCC